rnacentral:rRNA from 1 species
AUUGAACGCUGGCGGAAUGCUUUACACAUGCAAGUCGAACGGCAGCACGGAGAGCUUGCUCUCUGGUGGCGAGUGGCGAACGGGUGAGUAAUAUAUCGGAACGUGUCCAAUAAUGGGGGAUAACGAGUCGAAAGAUUCGCUAAUACCGCAUACGCCCUACGGGGGAAAGCAGGGGAUCGUAAGACCUUGCGUUAAUGGAGCGGCCGAUAUCUGAUUAGCUUGUUGGUGAGGUAAAGGCUCACCAAGGCGACGAUCAGUAGCUGGUUUGAGAGAACGACCAGCCACACUGGAACUGAGACACGGUCCAGACUCCUACGGGAGGCAGCAGUGGGGAAUUUUGGACAAUGGGGGCAACCCUGAUCCAGCCAUUCCGCGUGAGUGAAGAAGGCCUUCGGGUUGUAAAGCUCUUUCGCAAGGGAAGAAAACUUAUGAUCGAAUAAAUCAUGAGGUUGACGGUACCUUGAUAAGAAGCACCGGCUAACUACGUGCCAGCAGCCGCGGUAAUACGUAGGGUGCGAGCGUUAAUCGGAAUUACUGGGCGUAAAGCGUGCGCAGGCGGUUUUGUAAGUCGGAUGUGAAAUCCCCGGGCUCAACCUGGGAACUGCGUUCGAAACUGCAAGGCUAGAGUGUGUCAGAGGGGGGUAGAAUUCCACGUGUAGCAGUGAAAUGCGUAGAGAUGUGGAGGAAUACCAAUGGCGAAGGCAGCCC